rnacentral:rRNA from 1 species
ACGUAGGUGGCAAGCGUUGUCCGGAUUUAUUGGGCGUAAAGCGAGCGCAGGCGGAAAGAUAAGUCUGAAGUGAAAGCCCCCGGCUUAACCGGGGAACUGCUUCGGAAACUGUCCUUCUUGAGUGCAGAAGAGGAGAGUGGAACUCCAUGUGUAGCGGUGGAAUGCGUAGAUAUAUGGAAGAACACCAGUGGCGAAGGCGGCUCUCUGGUCUGCAACUGACGCUGAGGCUCGAAAGCAUGGGUAGCGAACAG